rnacentral:rRNA from 1 species
AUUGAACGCUGGCGGCAUGCCUUACACAUGCAAGUCGAACGGUAACAGGUCUUCGGAUGCUGACGAGUGGCGAACGGGUGAGUAAUACAUCGGAACGUGCCUAGUAGUGGGGGAUAACUACUCGAAAGAGUGGCUAAUACCGCAUGAGAUCUACGGAUGAAAGCAGGGGAUCGCAAGACCUUGUGCUACUAGAGCGGCCGAUGGCAGAUUAGGUAGUUGGUGGGAUAAAAGCUUACCAAGCCGACGAUCUGUAGCUGGACUGAGAGGACGAUCAGCCACACUGGGACGGAGACACGGCCCGGACUCCUACGGGAGGCAGCAGUGGGGAAUUUUGGACAAUGGGCGAAAGCCUGAUCCAGCAAUGCCGCGUGCAGGAUGAAGGCCUUCGGGUUGUAAACUGCUUUUGUACGGAACGAAAAGCCCCGGGUUAAUACCCUGGGGUCAUGACGGUACCGUAAGAAUAAGCACCGGCUAACUACGUGCCAGCAGCCGCCGCCG